GUAGGGAAUAUUGCGCAAUGGAGGCAACUCUGACGCAGCCAUGCCGCGUGCAGGAAGAAGGCGCUACGCGUUGUAAACUGCUUUUAACCGGGAAGAAACCCCAGGACGUGUCCUGGGUUGACGGUACCGGAGGAAUAAGCACCGGCUAACUUCGUGCCAGCAGCCGCGGUAAUACGAAGGGUGCAAGCGUUAUCCGGAUUCAUUGGGUUUAAAGGGUGCGUAGGCGGAGCGUUAAGUCAGUGGUGAAAUCCUGCAGCUUAACUGUAGACUUGCCAUUGAUACUGGCGCUCUUGAGUGCGCUUGAAGUGGGCGGAAUGUGCCGUGUAGCGGUGAAAUGCUUAGAUAUGGCACAGAACACCAAUUGCGAAGGCAGCUCACUAAGGCGAUACUGACGCUGAGGCACGAAAGCGUGGGGAUCGAACAGGAUUAGAAACCCCGGUAGUCC
rnacentral:rRNA from 1 species